AAAAGGCGGCGUAAGCUGUCGCUAAAGGAUGGACCCGCGGUGCAUUAGCUAGUUGGUAAGGUAACGGCUUACCAAGGCGACGAUGCAUAGCCGAGUUGAGAGACUGAUCGGCCACAUUGGGACUGAGACACGGCCCAAACUCCUACGGGAGGCAGCAGUAGGGAAUCUUCCACAAUGGGCGAAAGCCUGAUGGAGCAACGCCGCGUGAGUGAAGAAGGUUUUCGGAUCGUAAAGCUCUGUUGUUGGUGAAGAAGGAUAGAGGUAGUAACUGGCCCCUAUUUGACGGUAAUCAACCAGAAAGUCACGGCUAACUACGUGCCAGCAGCCGCGGUAAUACGUAGGUGGCAAGCGUUGUCCGGAUUUAUUGGGCGUAAAGCGAGCGCAGGCGGAAAGAUAAGUCUGAUGUGAAAGCCCCCGGCUUAACCGAGGAAUUGCAUCGGAAACUGUGUUCCUUGAGUGCAGAAGAGGAGAGUGGAACUCCAUGUGUAGCGGUGGAAUGCGUAGAUAUAUGGAAGAACACCAGUGGCGAAGGCGGCUCUCUGGUCUGUAACUGACGCUGAGGCUCGAAAGCAUGGGUAGCGAACAGGAUUAGAUACCCUGGUAGUCCAUGCCGUAAACGAUGAGUGCUAAGUGUUGGGAGGUUUCCGCCUCUCA
rnacentral:rRNA from 1 species